rnacentral:snRNA from 1 species
AUAUAUAUAUGGCGCCGGGUUCAGGGUGAUCAAGAAUGCUCUGAACCCGGAUGGAGGCUCACCAUCGCACCUCGGUGGGUUGAAACUUGCGACGGCCCCUAAUCGGGUGCGCUUAGGCGUGUAAUUUUUGUCAGUGGGGAGGCCUCAUGGUCCUCCCUU